AGGGAUAGCUGGAGCCCUUCACACAGAAGAUGUCCACAGCAUGCAGAGAUGAAAGCAGUAUGGUUCCAAGGAUGGGGUCACAACCUGGUGGUUUCGAUGGUUGUACUCUUAUCUGAAACAGUGUGUCGACGAUUCGAGAGCCAAGCAGGAAGUAAGGCAACUGCCCAAACCCUUUCUCUCAUCCUGGCCAGACCUGGGUUAGGCUUCGCGGCUUGCCCUGGUUACGGAAGGGCGGAACCAUUCCACCUUACCCGAGUACUGACGCACGGAUGGGGACACUCCUGCACGGAGUAAAGAAACGUGAGCUUCGGAGAGUCCUUUUAAGUAGUUGGGAAGGAGGUGUGGCCGAGGAGACUGGGAGGCCGCAGCCUGGCGAGGGGGGAGUGGCCAGGGGGCGUGGCCGUAGCGUCUGGAAUGUUGUUGGGUCCUCGCACCGCAUAGUAAGGAGAGGCCACGCCCCCUUUCUCGGAGAGGGCCAAUCGGAGCGCCGGAGCAGUUUCAAGUCUCCCCCUCCAGCCUGCCCGCCCGCCACCCCACCCCCCUCGGGGAUUCGCUUUUUC